GACGAACGCUGGCGGCGUGCUUAACACAUGCAAGUCGAACGGACAGGCCCUGCUCUUGUGGGGUGCUCGAGUGGCGAACGGGUGAGUAACACGUGAGUAACCUGCCCUUGACUUUGGGAUAAAUUCAGGAAACUGGGGCUCAUACCGGAUAGGAGCUCCUGCUGCAUGGUGGGGGUUGGUAAGUUUCGGCGGUUGGGGAUGGUAUCGCGGCUUAUCAGCUUGUUGGUGGGGUAGUGGCUUACCAAGGCUUUGACGGGUAGCCGGCCUGAGAGGGUGACCGGCCACAUUGGGACUGAGAUACGGCCCAGACUCCUACGGGAGGCAGCAGUGGGGAAUAUUGCACAAUGGGCGGAAGCCUGAUGCAGCAACGCCGCGUGCGGGAUGACGGCCUUCGGGUUGUAAACCGCUUUCGCCGGUGACGAAGCGUGAGUGACGGUAAUGGGUAAAGAAGCACCGGCUAACUACGUG
rnacentral:rRNA from 1 species